AUGUAUGAUGCAUUGGUUCAUAACGAGGAUCCAUCUGAUAAUAGAAAAUUGUGGAAGCUUAAGAUUCCUCUAAAAGUGAAAAUUUUCCUAUGGUUUCUCAACAAAGGAGUUAUCUUAACUAGGGACAAUCUAACUCGACGAAACUGGCAAGGCUGCAAAAAAUGUGUUUUCUGCAAUCAUAAUGAAUCCAUUAAACACCUAUUUUUUGAUUGCAAGUUUGCUAGAUCGGUAUGGGCAAUAGUCCAAAUUGCUUCGAAUCUAUAUCCUCCAUGCAGCGUACGGAAUAUGUUCGGCAAUUGGUUGAGGGGAAUAGAUAAACAAUUGUCUAAGCACAUUCUUGCGGGGGCGGCUGCCUUAUGUUGGGCGUUGUGGCUCACCGGGAAUGAUAUUGUUUUUAAUCAUAAAAGUGUUUCAUCUCCUAUGCAGGUAAUUCAUAUAUGCUCGCGAUGGCUCCGUAUGUGGUCUAUCCUGCAGAGGCCGGAGGACAGAGACCUUUUUAUGAUGGCUUCUACCCGGUUGGAGUGCUCGGCCAGGGACAUUUUUUACCCCCAUGGAUGGCGGUGUGACCUUCGGAUUGGACCGGCAUCACCUUAG
rnacentral:rRNA from 1 species